rnacentral:misc_RNA from 1 species
UUUAAACGCAGAUUUUCUAGUACCUUAUUGAAAUUUAAUUAUGUUUUAUGAUUUUUCAUGCAUGGAGUUCAAACAAGUAAUGAGCAUGCAUUUAUACACUACAGCGCUCCUACUGGCCUCUGAAAGUACUAUGCACUUUAAAUUCGUAACGUUUAAACCGUAACGGGUAAAUUUGUAAUUACUUUGAAGAAAAGUGGAGUUCGUGGGUACGAAAAGAUCUAAUACAAAAAAGACGACGUAAAUAACAAUAAUCAUGAACGAUACAAAAAUUAGUAGAAGAGAUAAAUAUCAACAUAUACAAGUCUUUGUUCGUGUUAGGCCAACAAAUGCUAUCGAAAAAAAUAAUAAGUCCAAAACCGUAGUGGAAAUUGUUAAUGACAAAGAGUUGUUAGUACAUGAGCGUCCAUAUGAUAAGGUUUCUAAGAAAUUUAAAUUUGACAAUGUAUUUGGACCCUUGGCAAAACAAAUUGAUGUGUACAAUGUUGUUGUUAAUCCUUUGUUGGAACAAGUUUUGGCUGGAUAUAAUUGUACAGUGUUCGCAUAUGGUCAAACUGGUACUGGGAAAACAUUUACUAUGGAAGGAAUCAACAGUGACCCAACUUUGCAUUGGCAAAGUGAUACAUCUGCUGGUAUGAUACCACGUUCUUUAAGUCAUCUAUUUGAUAAAUUACAUUUAUUGGAAACAAGGGAAUACACAAUUAGAGUUAGUUUUUUGGAACUCUACAAUGAGGAUUUAUUUGAUCUGUUAUCAGUUAAUGAUGAUUGUUCCAAAAUAAGAUUAUAUGAAGAUGCAUCAAAAAAAGGUGCUGUAAUUAUUCAUGGUUUAGAAGAAGUAACAAUACAUAAUAAAAGUGAAGUUUAUAAAAUUCUGGAAAAGGGAUCAGAAAGGAGACAAACUGCUGCAACAUUGUUGAACAGUCAAUCUAGCCGUUCUCAUACUGUAUUUUCAAUAACUGUACAUAUGAAAGAGAAUACCACUGAGGGAGAAGAAGUUUUAAAAACAGGAAAGUUGAAUUUAGUAGAUCUUGCAGGAAGCGAAAAUGUCGGGAGAUCUGGUGCUAUUGAAAAAAGAGCAAGGGAAGCUGGUAGUAUUAAUCAGUCCCUAUUAACUCUUGGUAGAGUUAUAACAGCACUUGUUGAAAGAGCACCUCAUAUACCUUAUAGAGAAUCGAAACUCACGAGAUUGCUACAAGAAUCACUGGGUGGUCGAACAAAAACCUCCAUUAUUGCUACGAUAUCUCCUGCUGCUAUUAAUCUUGAAGAAACAUUAUCAACAUUAGAUUAUGCACAUCGCGCGAAAAACAUUACUAAUCGCCCAGAAAUAAAUCAAAAACUGUCGAAAAAAGAAUUCCUUAAACAGUAUACAGUUGAAAUUGAAAGAUUACGAAAAGAUUUAGAAGCAGCACGUGAGAAGAAUGGAGUUUAUCUUGCAAAUGAGAAUUAUCAAGAAAUGCAGACACAGAUCGCUCAAUUGAAUAAAGAUAUAGAGGAGAAAAUAAAUCAUAUAAAAGCGCUUGAAAAAACUGUUCAAGAUAAGGAGAAAAUAUACAAUGAUCUUGAAGUACAAACUCUCGCACAAAUGAAGGAGUUGUACGAAGCUAAAAAUAAAUUAGAUAAUGUUACGGGCGCCCUUAAAUCUACGGAUGAACGAUUAAAAAUGACGAUCGAGGAACGAGAUAGACAAAAGCUCCUAGUAGAAAAAUAUGUUAAUACAGAACAGUCUUUACUAAAUCAAGCACAAAAUUUAUUGAACGUCGCAGAUACAGCAACGUCAGAUUCGUAUAAAUUACAUGAUAAGAUUGGACGUAAAACUCAAGUCGAACAAACGUUUGAGGCCCUUAGUGAAGAGUUCAGAAACAAGGUUUCUAACUGUGCACAAGGAAUUGAACAAGAUGUUAGCACGUAUGCAGAAAGAUUAAUAAAUUGUUUUACAUCUAUAAAGAAUGAAAUUGGUCUGCAUACUAGUAAUAAAUGCGAAACUAUGGAUACAGCAAUACAACAAAUUUCAAUGGAUCUUAUUAAGCAACAUUUAGCUGAUAUUGAUAGUUUGAAGAAGAAUAUAAAUGAAUCUUAUUCAAAUGAUCAAAAGUGUAUAGAAGAUAAAAUUGCAAAUCCAGCAAAUGCUCUAGAAUGUGAACGUGAAUUGUUAAAUGAAAUUUCCACGAUAUUGGCAAACAAUAUUCAAAAUAUAAUGAGAAAUGCCAUUAUUAAAAAUUUGCAAACAAUAAGGAAUAAUGUAACCCAAAAAUUAAAACAAACUUCAACUCUUAUGAAGGAAAUGAUAGAUUCUGCAUGUAAUGCUCAACUAGAAGCUUACAAUAACAUAAACAAAAACAUUAAAAUUAUUGCAACUGAUGUAGAAAUGCUUCAGAAAAGGCAACAGUUUACAGAAAAACAGCAAUUAUUCGCACAGAUGAUGCAAGAUGCAAGUUCUCAAUUCAACCGUUUAUAUAAGUGUCAAGAAGAACACUAUUCUUCUGUAACUGAUAAAUGUACUUAUGUCAGUAAAGUCUGUAAUGAUAUGACUGAAUACUCAACAGAAAGUUAUAAUAAGAGUGUCGCGAUGCAAAAUGAUCUAAAAGAUCAAAUACAACAUAACUUAGAGAAAAUUGAAACAGAUAUCAUUCUUAAAACAGAAGAGAAUGAAGAAUUAACAGACAAAACAGCGGAACAAGGAAAGAUUCUAAUUAGUGAAUUAGAAUCAAAUAUAAGUGAAAGCUGUAAUACAUUGAAACAAUAUAAAGACCUUACCGAGAAUAGCGUUAAAGAAAUGCAACAAAAAAUAGAUAUGGAUAGAAACAAAGCUCUUUCAUUGGUUAACAACGCACAGAAAAUAGUUACAAGUGUAAGUAAAGAUUAUGCAGAAUCAAUGAAAAGCCAAGACAUUAAAACCUCUGAAUCUUCGAACGAAAUAAUCAGUAAACUAGAGGAUCAAAUAACGGAAUCAAGUGCAUGGAGCAACAAAACUGUUCAUCAGUUGCAAUCAGCAGUGAACGAAAUUAAUCACUUCUUUGAUGAAGAUCUAAAACGCGAUGUUCCAACAGGAACGACUCCUGCGAGGAGAGAAUUUUCUUAUCCUCGUCAGUUUGUUGCAACAUCUCCUCAUGAACGAAUUCUCCAAAGAUUCAGACAAGUUAAGAAAGUUAUUGAAACAUCAGAAGAUGAUAAUGAUACGUAUAUUACGAGUGGCGACAUAACAAUGAAACAAAUUGCACACUCAACUCUUCUACAUGAUACUACUGUUAUAUCUGCUGCAACUGAUAACACAUUUACCGAAUCUACCUCUAACAACGAUCUCUCAUCAAAGAACUUGGAAACACGCACUUUUGUAGAUUCGCACAUUGAAAGUAUUGUAUCCAGAUCGAAUGUGUAGAAAGCGUUGGAAAAUAUAUUAAACUGUACUAGUUUAGAACAGUUCAAAGAGAAGAAAAUUUUAUCGUUUUUUUUCUCUUUUCAACAGAACAUGGGAUACAAAUAAAGAGAAUACAGGGAAUGUUGAUUAAUGUAUAACCGCAUAGAAAGAAAUUAAUGAAUUGUACA